rnacentral:lncRNA from 1 species
GGAUUAAGUCGAUUAUAUCGACCCCAGUGCGUAACUGGUACUUAUUUAAUCGACCCCAAAGGGAUGAAAGGCAAAGUCAACGUCAGCGGAAUUUGAACACAGAACAUAACAGCAGACGAAAUACUGGUAAGCAUUUUGCCUGGCGUGCUAAUUUUUCUGUCAACUUGUCGCCUUUAUAUAUAUAUAUAUAAGUUCAGCAAAAUUUAGAUUCGGAUGAAUAUGGUACUUAAGUUAGAUGCACCAGAACUUUGUAUGGUGCUAUCCAUAUAAAUCCAUGGGGUGAUUAUAAUCAAAAAAAGCAACAAGAAUAUCUCUGGUAAUUUGGUACGAUCGUUUCACGCUACCAAAUUACCGGAGAUAUUCUUGUUGCUUAUUUUGAUUAUAUAUAUAUACACACACACAGUUGCAGGCAUGGCUGUGUGGUAAAAAGUUUGCUUUCCAAUCACAUCAUCCUAGGUUCAGUCCUGUUGCAUGGCAUCUUGGGCAAUUGUCUUCUGCUACAGCCCUGGACUGAUCAAAGCAUUGUUAGUGGAUUUGGUUGAAAGAAACCCAUUAUAUAUAUAUAUAUAUAUAUAUAUAUAUAUAUACAUACAUACACCCAGAAUCAUGCUUAGGAAUGAAAUUUAGGAUUUCUCAGUUUUUUGUGAAUUGAAUUUUCGUAAAACUUUUCCCAGCUGGUUUGCACACUAUGGCAACACCAUUGUUAUGUUUUCAUUAUUCUGUGUAAUAUCCUUUCUUUUUUAUUUCAGAUUCUUCAGUUUUUUGGUUGUGGAAAAGGCCUUAACGAUGAAGGAAAGUCUGUCAUCAUCAAGAAAAGUGCUAAAGACACCCCUCUUCAUGUCAUUGCGGAGAAGUUAGGUCAUCAUGUGGACACAGAUGAUUCCUGAAGGACUCUUCACCAAGGAAGAAACAAUCUUAUUGUGGGACCUCCAAUACUGUGACAGCUAGGGAUUUAGGGAAUAUUGGCUGCAAGUUAUGUGGGAAACCUGGACAAACAAGCAAAGCUAUUUUC